UGGGGAAUAUUGCACAAUGGGCGCAAGCCUGAUGCAGCCAUGCCGCGUGUAUGAAGAAGGCCUUCGGGUUGUAAAGUACUUUCAGCGAGGAGGAAGGCGUUGUGGUUAAUAACCGCAACGAUUGACGUUACUCGCAGAAGAAGCACCGGCUAACUCCGUGCCAGCAGCCGCGGUAAUAAGGAGGGUGCAAGCGUUAAUCGGCAUUACUGGGCGUAAAGCGCACGCAGGCGGUCUGUCAAGUCGGAUGUGAAAUCCCCGGGCUCAACCUGGGAACUGCAUCCGAAACUGGCAGGCUAGAGUCUUGUAGAGGGGGGUAGAAUUCCAGGUGUAGCGGUGAAAUGCGUAGAGAUCUGGAGGAAUACCGGUGGCGAAGGCGGCCCCCUGGACAAAGACUGACGCUCAGGUGCGAAAGCGUGGGGAGCAAACA
rnacentral:rRNA from 1 species